rnacentral:rRNA from 1 species
AUUGAACGCUGGCGGCAGGCCUAACACAUGCAAGUCGAGCGGAUGACGGGAGCUUGCUCCUUGAUUCAGCGGCGGACGGGUGAGUAAUGCCUAGGAAUCUGCCUGGUAGUGGGGGACAACGUUUCGAAAGGAACGCUAAUACCGCAUACGUCCUACGGGAGAAAGCAGGGGACCUUCGGGCCUUGCGCUAUCAGAUGAGCCUAGGUCGGAUUAGCUAGUUGGGGAGGUAAUGGCUCACCAAGGCGACGAUCCGUAAGUGGUCUGAGAGGAUGAUCAGCCACGACGCAACUGAGACACGGGUGAGCCGCCCUCGGGAGGCAGUAGCGGGGAAUAGUGGAGCAUAGGCGAACGCAUGAUUCGCGCUUACGACGUGGGUGAAGAACGUGUUCGGACAGUAAAGCCCCGUAACCUGGGAGAAAGGCGAGUACCCGAAUACCGUGGUGGCUCGACCUUACCGUCGGAAUCACUAGCCACUAACUCUCUGCCAGCAGCCGCCGUAA